rnacentral:tRNA from 1 species
GGGGGUAUAGCUCAGUGGUAGAGUCCAUGUUUAACAUGCACAAGGCCCUGGAUUCAAUCCCUAGUACCUCCA